UCAGAAUACGGCGCGGACGUCGCAAUGGGCCCAUGCUGCUGCAGUAAGCGCCACGUGACCUUUGUGUGGGCCACCCUCGAGUGCCUGUUCUUCACGGGGGUGAUUUUCGGAUGGGUGUGGCUGACCGUCACCCUCCGGCGAGAUGCCUACUUCCUGGAUCUCUGCAAUGUCAGCCUGUCCGAAGAUAUCUCGAGAGAUCUAACUAAAAAUGAAGUUUUGAAAGACAGUCUGAGAAAGGACCGGCCCAAGUGUAGAACUACGACCACCACUGUGGCCCCGGGGGAGGUGGAGUACCGCCUGCCGUUCAAUGGCACUCAGUAUUUCUGUGACGAGCAGGAAGAUCGUCUAGACCUCAUGUAUGUUGUAAUUAUAAUUGUGCGGAACUUUCUGAUUCUACCUGUGGGGAUUUUCUUGGACAAGUAUGGUACAACCAGAACCCGACUCCUUACUGUAUUGACGUUCGUGAUGGGGACUCUGAUGAUGACCUUCUCCAGCGCCGCGUUUCCCUGGUUACUGAUCCCCGCCCUCAGCCUCGUUUCGCUGGCCGGUUUGGUCCUCCUCAUCACAAACCUGCAGGUCGCCAAUUUGUUUGGGGAACAUCGAUACACUGUCAUGGCAACCUUCAUAGGCGCGUACCACGCAUGCUCAGUCAUCAUGACAUGCAUGAAGGCUACAAAUGACCUCGGCGUAGGAACCCAAACUUCUUUUAUGUUUUUGACUAUUGCUAUUGUUCCAAUAUUGGUGUCCACGAUAGCUUUUUUACCCAAGAGUCGGAUACCCUGGCCACUUCCGGCGACGUAUGGGAAUAAUCAUGUAUUAAACGGACAUGGAAGAAGUAAAAAUUCAAGGGAUUCCAGAAAUAGAGAGGACUUUGCUGCCUUUAAAAACGUAGCGUGCUCUUCUUUGUUUGCGUGGUCCCUCGUCUGGUUUGGAAUUCUGUAUCUGGGGGAAUGCUUUUACGACGAGAAUUUCCGCCUGGUGUUCACAAGAUUGGGAGUCGAUAAAGAAUACAUAAAUACAGAGUAUUUGCGUCUAUAUUCCGGUCUCAAACUGCUUGGGUUAGCCGUGGCCCCGGCCCUUGGAUAUGUUUUGGAUUGGAGGAGAAGCUAUAAUCCCCCUCGAAUCCAACACAUGUACAGAAGUCUGAUGCUGAUGGUGCUGUCUUGUAUCCUGGCCUUGCUCAAUUCCCUACUGCCAUUGAUUCCGUCGCUGCCGUUCCAGAUAGCUGGCUUUGUGCUCCAGACCGUAGAACGGGUGGCAGUGUUGGUGGCCGUGGUCAGCUUUUUAAGUCACGUCCAUUUUCCAAUAGAGCAUUUUGGGAAAUACAUCGGGUGCCAUUAUCUUGUUGCCAGUCUAAGUGGUUUAGUUGGGUUUGCAUUCCAAUACUUAAUUCAUCAUCACAUGAACAGCAACCCCUUUUAUGUGCAUUUGAUACUGUUGGUGUUAUUAGUCAUCUCCUGCGGUCAUCCAAUCAACAUUUGGUAUCACUGUCGUCAAGGCCUCAUUCACGACGCCUCGCAGUCUGAUUACGGAGUGGAAAUCACGCCGCAGGAAAAACUAGUUCCCGAUCUCGAUAGUCCAAGUACAGCAUGAACGAUCGACGCCAGACUUGUGUAAUAUAUUCAAAAAAGAUUCAAAGUCCAAGAAAACAUCACAAUAUGUGAUUGUUCUGCAAUUUUUUUUAAAUUCAAUUUUAACAUGACAACGAUCUGUUCUGCUUUGUGUUUAUACUAUAUGAUGUGUAAAAUUCUUCUGUAUAUAAUGCUACUUAUAUUUGGUCCAUGAAUAUCCCUAAAAAUUUUGACGAUGCGUCAAUGAAAACAGUUUUUAUACUGAUGUCAAUUAUAUUGAAUAAAAUUGAUUGAAAUAUUG
rnacentral:misc_RNA from 1 species